rnacentral:rRNA from 1 species
UACAGAGGUCCCGAGCGUUGUUCGGAUUCAUUGGGCGUAAAGGGUGUGUAGGCGGUCUGUCAAGUCAGGGGUGAAAUCUUUCGGCUCAACCGGAAAACUGCCUUUGAUACUGGCAGGCUCGAGCGGGGUAGGGGUUGCGGGAACUACCAGUGGAGCGGUGAAAUGCGUUGAUAUUGGUAGGAACGCCGGUGGCGAAAGCGCGCAACUGGACCUCUUCUGACGCUGAAACACGAAAGCUAGGGGAGCAAACGGG